GAUGAACGCUGGCGGCGUGCCUAAUACAUGCAAGUCGAGCGAACAGACGAGGAGCUUGCUCCUCUGACGUUAGCGGCGGACGGGUGAGUAACACGUGGAUAACCUACCUAUAAGACUGGGAUAACUUCGGGAAACCGGAGCUAAUACCGGAUAAUAUAUUGAACCGCAUGGUUCAAUAGUGAAAGACGGUUUUGCUGUCACUUAUAGAUGGAUCCGCGCCGCAUUAGCUAGUUGGUAAGGUAACGGCUUACCAAGGCGACGAUGCGUAGCCGACCUGAGAGGGUGAUCGGCCACACGGGAACUGAGACACGGUCCAGACUCCUACGGGAGGCAGCAGUAGGGAAUCGUCCGCAAUGGGCGAAAGCCUGACGGAGCAACGCCGCGUGAGUGAUGAAGGUCUUCGGAUCGUAAAACUCUGUUAUGAGGGAAGAACAAAUGUGUAAGUAACUAUGCACGUCUUGACGGUACCUAAUCAGAAAGCCACGGCUAACUACGUG
rnacentral:rRNA from 1 species